rnacentral:rRNA from 1 species
UGGGGAAUCUUGCACAAUGGAGGAAACUCUGAUGCAGCGAUGCCGCGUGAGUGAAGAAGGCCUUUGGGUUGUAAAGCUCUUUUGUAGGGGAAGAUAAUGACUGUACCCUAAGAAUAAGGUGCCGGCUAACUUCGUG